CAGCCGCCGCGGGAAUACGUAGGGUGCGAGCGUUAAUCGGAAUUACUGGGCGUAAAGCGUGCGCAGGCGGUUCGUUAGGACAGAUGUGAAAUCCCCGGGCUUAACCUGGGAACUGCAUUUGUGACUGGCGAGCUAGAGUAUGGCAGAGGGGGGUAGAAUUCCACGUGUAGCAGUGAAAUGCGUAGAGAUGUGGAGGAAUACCGAUGGCGAAGGCAGCCCCCUGGGCCAAUACUGACGCUCAUGCACGAAAGCGUGGGGAGCAAACAGGAUUAGAUACCCCAGUAGUCCCUGUCUCUUAUAC
rnacentral:rRNA from 1 species